rnacentral:lncRNA from 1 species
CCGCUCUUUCUCCGCCUCCACUAAUACACUUUCGGGAGUCGGAUCGCCCGACCCCGACGGAAACAUCUCUGCCGCAAGCCCCGCCCGUCCUCGACGAGCCACAACUGGCGCAGCCACCAGCUGCUCCACAGUCUCCUGGAGCCUCUUGACCCGUUCUUCCUGGCGCAUAGCAGCCUCCUGCUGCCGCUGCACCACAUCAGCUUGUUGCCUCACCACACCCAC